CCUACGGGAGGCUGCAGUGGGGAAUAUUGCACAAUGGGGGAAACCCUGAUGCAGCGACGCCGCGUGAGUGAAGAAGUAUUUCGGUACGUAAAGCUCUAUCAGCAGGGAAGAAAAAAAGUCCUUUGGACUUUGGACGGUACCUGACCAAGAAGCCCCGGCUAACUACGUGCCAGCAGCCGCGGUGAUACGUAGGGGGCAAGCGUUAUCCGAAUUUACUGGGUGUAAAGGGGGCGUAGACGGCAGCGCAAGUCUGGAGUGAAAUGCCGGGGCCCAACCCCGGAAAUGCUUUGGAAACUGGGCAGCUGGAGUGCAGGAGAGGUAAGCGGAAUUCCUAGGGUAGCGGGGAAAUGCGUAGAUAUUAGGAAGAACACCAGUGGCGAAGGCGGCUUACUGGACUGUAACUGACGUUGAGGCUCGAAAGCGUGGGGAGCAAACAGGAUUAGAUACCCGAGUAGUC
rnacentral:rRNA from 1 species